GAUGAACGCUGGCGGCGUGCCUAAUACAUGCAAGUCGAGCGAACGGACGAGAAGCUUGCUUCUCUGAUGUUAGCGGCGGACAGGUGAGUAACACGUGGAUAACCUACCUAUAAGACUGGGAUAACUUCGGGAAACCGGAGCUAAUACCGGAUAAUAUUUUGAACCGCAUGGUUCAAAGGUGAAAGACGGUCUUGCUGUCACUUAUAGAUGGAUCCGCGCUGCAUUAGCUAGUUGGUAAGGUAACGGCUUACCAAGGCAACGAUGCAUAGCCGACCUGAGAGGGUGAUCGGCCACACUGGAACUGAGACACGGUCCAGACUCCUACGGGAGGCAGCAGUAGGGAAUCUUCCGCAAUGGGCGAAAGCCUGACGGAGCAACGCCGCGUGAGUGAUGAAGGUCUUCGGAUCGUAAAACUCUGUUAUUAGGGAAGAACAUAUGUGUAAGUAACUGUGCACAUCUUGACGGUACCUAAUCAGAAAGCCACGGCUAACUACGUG
rnacentral:rRNA from 1 species